AGUCGACGCCCCGCAAGGGGAGUGGCAGACGGGUGAGUAACGCGUGGGAACAUGCCCUUUGGUUCGGAAUAACUCAGGGAAACUUGAGCUAAUACCGGAUAAGCCCGAGAGGGGAAAGAUUUAUCGCCGAAGGAUUGGCCCGCGUCCGAUUAGCUAGUUGGUGAGGUAAUGGCUCACCAAGGCGACGAUCGGUAGCUGGUCUGAGAGGAUGAUCAGCCACAUUGGGACUGAGACACGGCCCAAACUCCUACGGGAGGCAGCAGUGGGGAAUAUUGGACAAUGGGCGCAAGCCUGAUCCAGCCAUGCCGCGUGAGUGAUGAAGGCCCUAGGGUUGUAAAGCUCUUUCGCCAGGGACGAUAAUGACGGUACCUGGAUAAGAAGCCCCGGCUAACUUCGUGCCAGCAGCCGCGGUAAUACGAAGGGGGCUAGCGUUGUUCGGAAUCACUGGGCGUAAAGCGCACGUAGGCGGAUCUUUAAGUCAGAGGUGAAAUCCCAGGGCUCAACCCUGGAACUGCCUUUGAUACUGGGGAUCUCGAGUCCGGGAGAGGUGAGUGGAACUGCGAGUGUAGAGGUGAAAUUCGUAGAUAUUCGCAAGAACACCAGUGGCGAAGGCGGCUCACUG
rnacentral:rRNA from 1 species